rnacentral:rRNA from 1 species
GGGUAACCUUCGCUUGAUUUAGCGGCGGACGGGUGAGUAACACGUGGGUAACCUGCCUCAAAAUGGGGGAUAGCCUUUCGAAAGGAAGAUUAAUACCGCAUAAUAUUGUUUUUUCGCAUGGAGAGACAAUUAAAGGAUGUAAAUCCGUUUUGAGAUGGACCCGCGGCGCAUUAGCUAGUUGGUGAGGUAGUGGCUCACCAAGGCGACGAUGCGUAGCCGACCUGAGAGGGUGAUCGGCCACAUUGGAACUGAGAUACGGUCCAGACUCCUACGGGAGGCAGCAGUGGGGAAUAUUGCACAAUGGGCGAAAGCCUGAUGCAGCAACGCCGCGUGAGUGAAGAAGGCCUUCGGGUUGUAAAGCUCUUUGAUUGGGGACGAUAAUGACGGUACCCAAAGAACAAGCCACGGCUAACUACGUGCCAGCAGCCGCGGUAAUACGUAGGUGGCGAGCGUUGUCCGGAUUUACUGGGCGUAAAGGAUGCGUAGGUGGAUAUAUAAGUGAGAUGUGAAAUACCCGAGCUUAACUUGGGUGCUGCAUUUCAAACUGUAUGUCUAGAGUGCAGGAGAGGAAAGUGGAAUUCUUAGUGUAGCGGUGAAAUGCGUAGAGAUUAAGAAGAACACCAGUGGCGAAGGCGACUUUCUGGACUGUAACUGACACUGAGGCAUGAAAGCGUG